GCGGUAUCCUAACCGUGCGAAGGUAGCGUAAUCACUUGUUCUCUAAAUCAGGACUAGUAUGAACGGCACCACGAGGGUUACACUGUCUCCUUUUUCCAAUUAGUGAAAUUAAUUUUCCCGUGAAGAAGCGGGAAUAAACCUAUAAGACGAGAAGACCCUAUGGAGCUUUAAACAAUCUAGCAUUUGCCUAUAUUCUUCAUGUUCCAGAACUCUCUAGACCCUUGCACAAUGACUAGGAGUUUUAGGUUGGGGUGACCACGGAGUAAAACUCAUCCUCCAUAAUGAAUUGAACUUUGAUUCUUAACUAAGAAACACCUAUCUAAGUAUUAAUACACUAACAUUUAUUGACCCAAUACA
rnacentral:rRNA from 1 species